rnacentral:rRNA from 1 species
UACAGAGGUCUCAAGCGUUGUUCGGAUUUAUUGGGCGUAAAGGGUGCGUAGGUGGCGCUGUAAGUCGGGUGUGAAAUUUCGGAGCUUAACUCCGAAACUGCAUUCGAUACUGCGGUGCUUGAGGACUGGAGAGGAGACUGGAAUUCAUGGUGUAGCAGUGAAAUGCGUAGAGAUCAUGAGGAAGACCAGUGGCGAAGGCGGGUCUCUGGACAGUUCCUGACACUGAGACACGAAGGCCAGGGGAGCAAACGGG